rnacentral:rRNA from 1 species
GUAGGUGGCAAGCGUUGUCCGGAAUUAUUGGGCGUAAAGCGCGCGCAGGCGGUCCUUUAAGUCUGAUGUGAAAGCCCACGGCUCAACCGUGGAGGGUCAUUGGAAACUGGGGGACUUGAGUACAGAAGAGGAAAGCGGAAUUCCAAGUGUAGCGGUGAAAUGCGUAGAGAUUUGGAGGAACACCAGUGGCGAAGGCGGCUUUCUGGUCUGUAACUGACGCUGAGGCGCGAAAGCGUGGGGAGCAAACAGGAUUAGAUACCCUGGUAGUCCACGCCGUAAACGAUGAGUGCUAAGUGUUAGGGGGUUUCCCGCCCCCCUUAGUGCUGCAGCUAACGCAUUAAGCACUCCGCCUGGGGAGUACGGCGCAGGCUG